AUAAUUAAAUUUUAUGAGAGUUUCGUUGUAGAUUUGGUGU
rnacentral:guide_RNA from 1 species